UGGGGAAUAUUGGACAAUGGGCGCAAGCCUGAUCCAGCCAUGCCGCGUGAGUGAUGAAGGCCCUAGGGUUGUAAAGCUCUUUUGUGCGGGAAGAUAAUGACGGUACCGCAAGCAUAAGCCCCGGCUAACUACGUGCCAGCAGCCGCGGUAAUACGUAGGCCGCAAGCGUUGUUCGGAGUUACUGGGCGUAAAGAGUGCGUAGGCGGUUUUCUAAGUUCGGUGUGAAAUCUCCCGGCUUAACUGGGAGGGUGCGCCGAAGACUGGGAAGCUGGAGUGUGGGAAAGGCAGGCGGAAUUCCUGGUGUAGCGGUGAAAUGCGUAGAUAUCAGGAGGAACACCGGCGGUGUAGACGGCUUGCUAAACCAUAACUGACGCUGAGGCACGAAAGCGUGGGGAGCAAACA
rnacentral:rRNA from 1 species